rnacentral:piRNA from 1 species
UAACUCUUGCUUGCACACGGACAAAUGGCC